UCAAAAAAAAUAAAUAAAUAAAAUAACAGAUUCAAAAUUUCGGUAAAAAAAUUGAAUUUGAAUAUCAAUCUCUUCAUCAUCAAUCACAGUUCGAUUCAAAUCUCGAAGGUUUCAAGUGUUGGUUCGAUUAAAUGAAGUUGAAGAUCAACAAGGCUUGCGAUCUCAACUCCAUUUCAGUUCUUCCUCCUUACGCAAGAUUUGAGAGGAGAUCGAGCACUGUACCGAACGGAACGGACCGGAGUCGUUCGCAGCCAUCGCAGCAGUCGUCUCAGCAUGGAAUGUUUUCUCAGCUCUCGCAGAACUCUCUCGAUGAGAUCGUGACGAACGAUCAGAGGAUUGGUUCUCAAGAAAGAGAGAAUUCAGUGAAAAAGAUUGAUUGCUUGCCCCCUAUCAGCUACAUGCGAGAAGAGAGUCAAAUGCCAAUCUCUAGAUCGUCCGCCAAUCUGAUGCGCAAAUGGAACUCUGCUUCUGCUGCAGAUCACCAAUGUCAGAUAAGUGAAGAACUUGAACGCAGGAUUGGAAUUAUAGAAACUUCAUUGAAUAGGUUUGGAAUGAUCUUGGAUUCUGUUCAGAGCGAUAUCAUGCAUGUAAACAAGGGGACAAAAGAAGCAUUAAUGGAAAUGGAAAGCAUACAGCAGAAGUUGAUUGCUAAUGACAACUUGAUGCAACUAAUGAACAAGGGACAAGAAGAUGUCAAAACUAACCUUGUUGGGGGCUUAAAAUCUAUUUCUGAUCAAGUUAGCCAGGAGAUAGAUCGAGACAGGUUAAAGGAGAUUUCUUCAAUGAUAUCAGCUUUUCCAGAGCAGAUAGAUUUGUGUUUACAAAAAUUAAAAUCUGAGCUCUGCAAGACUGUCACCCAAGAAAUGCAGGCAAUCCCUUACACCUUGAGGAUUCCCAGCCAAAAACACCUAACUCCCACUGUUCUUUCGGAAAGGGGUAUAAGUUGUCGUGUUACGCCACAGCAAAUGCCAACUCUCAAGAACCCUCAAGUGCGUCCAAAGUUUUGUGGGAAAGCAACUGUGGUUCCAAAGGUAGAAUUAGGAAGCUGGACCUCAGUUAAAAAAGAAAAAGCUGCUUUCACAUGUAGGGGCUCUAGUAAGGAGCACAGACAGAAGAGACUGUUUCCCACUGAACUGGAGAGAGAACGGAGAAUUGUCAUCGAAUCAGAUGAGGAGAUUGAUGUAGGGUUUUCCUGCUUGCUAGAAGAAAAGGACACAGACAUUGGAAACUAUUCAAUGGAAGAAGCAAAGGAAGAGACCAAAAGGAUUCUGAGGAAAGCAAGGAGGGAAAAGAGAAAAUACAGUAAUGCAAUAAUUUUGAUUUGAAGUUCUCUACUUUUGGGAUCAAUUGAAUAGUUAUCGACUUCUUAACAAGACUCAGCCCCUAACUUCGGAGUCCUAGAGUGAAUCCUAUUUUAAAGCAGCAAGCCGUUGUGCUCCUUAUGCUAUGGAGCUGAAUACUCUCACUGCGCUCUGUGCAGGCCUAAGAUCUAUGGACGUCGCACUAGAUUGGAGUGCCUGAUUGCUGCACUGCUUUGCCCCGAGCCCUGAAUUUGAUCAGUUCUGGUGCAUUUUUUCUGCUCCCAAGUCCCAGUUGCUAUUCAUAAAUUUCAUGUUUUGCCUUUUUUUUUCUGUGCAAAUUUAUGUUCUGUAUCCUUGAACUGAUUUCAUUCAUAAGGUUGCACUCACGUCACUUGAUGAUUAGUUGAGUUCAUGAACUGCAUUUGUGUAAUGGUGCAAGAGACUAUCAUAACACACAAUGCCCAGUAACAAUAUUAUGUGCUGCCAAACAUUAGUGUGGUUGUCAUGUGGAAAAUAACAUAGUUUGAUGUUGUUUUCUUUAACAUUCGUUGUUUCAAAUCUUCUGUAUGAACAAAAAAAA